rnacentral:rRNA from 1 species
AGUGAACGCUGGCGGUAGGCCUAACACAUGCAAGUCGAACGGCAGCACAGUAAGAGCUUGCUCUUACGGGUGGCGAGUGGCGGACGGGUGAGGAAUACAUCGGAAUCUACUUUUUCGUGGGGGAUAACGUAGGGAAACUUACGCUAAUACCGCAUACGACCUACGGGUGAAAGCAGGGGAUCUUCGGACCUUGCGCGAUUGAAUGAGCCGAUGUCGGAUUAGCUAGUUGGCGGGGUAAAGGCCCACCAAGGCGACGAUCCGUAGCUGGCCUGAGAGGAUGAUAAGCCACACUGGAACUGAGACACGGUCCAGACUCCUACGGGAGGCAGCAGUGGGGAAUAUUGGACAAUGGGCGCAAGCCUGAUCCAGCCAUACCGCGUGGGUGAAGAAGGCCUUCGGGUUGUAAAGCCCUUUUGUUGGGAAAGAAAAGCAGCAGGUUAAUACCCCGCUGUUCUGACGGUACCCAAAGAAUAAGCACCGGCUAACUUCGUG